UAUAUACACAACAUCCACUACAAACAUUUUGCAAUCACUACACUAACACACACUCUUCAUUCACUACACUGACACACACUCUGUAUUUACUACACUAAGACAGAAGUUGUAUUCAUUACACCGACACACACUCUUCAUUCACUACACUGACACACACUAUGCAUUCACUACACUAACACACACUCUUCAUUCACUACACUGCCACACACUCUGUAUUUACU